UACGUAGGGUGCGAGCGUUAAUCGGAAUUACUGGGCGUAAAGCGUGCGCAGGCGGUUGUGCAAGACAGAUGUGAAAUCCCCGGGCUUAACCUGGGAAUGGCAUUUGUGACUGCACGGCUAGAGUGUGUCAGAGGGGGGUAGAAUUCCACGUGUAGCAGUGAAAUGCGUAGAUAUGUGGAGGAAUACCGAUGGCGAAGGCAGCCCCCUGGGAUGACACUGACGCUCAUACACGAAAGCGUGGGGAGCAAACAGG
rnacentral:rRNA from 1 species